rnacentral:rRNA from 1 species
GACGAACGCUGGCGGCGUGCUUAACACAUGCAAGUCGAACGCUGAAGCCUGGCUUUUGUUGGGUGGAUGAGUGGCGAACGGGUGAGUAACACGUGAGUAACCUGCCCUCUUCUUUGGGAUAACGCCCGGAAACGGGUGCUAAUACUGGAUAUUCACUUGCCUUCGCAUGGGGUGGGUGGAAAGGGUUUUUUCUGGUGGGGGAUGGGCUCGCGGCCUAUCAGCUUGUUGGUGGGGUGAUGGCUUACCAAGGCUUUGACGGGUAGCCGGCCUGAGAGGGUGACCGGUCACAUUGGGACUGAGAUACGGCCCAGACUCCUACGGGAGGCAGCAGUGGGGAAUAUUGCACAAU